rnacentral:misc_RNA from 1 species
AAGUCGUAACAAGGUUUCCGUAGGUGAACCUGCGGAAGGAUCAUUAUUGAAUAAACUUGGUAGAGGUUGUUGCUGGCUCUUAGGAGCAAGUGCACGCUUCUCCAUCUUUACUUCUCCACCUGUGAACCUUUUGUAGUCUUUUUGAUUAGGAAGAUAACUAAAUGCUCGAGGAUAACUCGGAUUAAGGGGAUCUGCUGUGCGUAAGCCAGCUUUCCUUGUAAAUUAUCUUCUAUAUCUUAAAAGUCUAUGUUUUUCAUAUACCCUAAAUGUAUGUUAUAAGAAUGUAUUCAAUGGACUUUGUCCUAUAAAACAAAUACAACUUUCAGCAACGGAUCUCUUGGCUCUC